rnacentral:lncRNA from 1 species
GUUCCAGUGAUCAAGUGGAAGAAAGAUGGCAUUCAUCUGGCCUUGGGAAUGGAUGAAAGGAAGCAGCAACUUUCAAAUGGGUCUCUGCUGAUACAAAACAUACUUCAUUCCAGACACCACAAGCCAGAUGAGGGACUUUACCAAUGUGAGGCAUCUUUAGGAGAUUCUGGCUCAAUUAUUAGUCGGACAGCAAAAGUUGCAGUAGCAGACUAGGUGUCAUGUGAUAUAACUGGACCCAGGAGAAUGACCCCACAACUGAAAGAUUUUUAUGAAGGAUGAUUUACUAUUCUCCAACGUACUGACAUUUUUCUACAGCCCAAUCAUUGCUGGGGAGACCACUGAGGUUCCUUUCACAGACAGAAUCUGUCACAGCCUUCAUGGGAGACACAGUGCUACUCAAGUGUGAAGUCAUUGGGGAGCCCAUGCCAACAAUCCACUGGCAGAAGAACCAACAAGACCUGACUCCAAUCCCAGGUGACUCCCGAGUGGUGGUCUUGCCCUCUGGAGCAUUGCAGAUCAGCCGACUCCAACCGGGGGACAUUGGAA